rnacentral:misc_RNA from 1 species
AAGCGAAGUUAAUGAACUAAAAAAAUCUGUAGAAUUUAUAAAUAAAAAAUACGAAAACAUAAAAAACGAAGCAGCCAAUUUUAAAAAAAAACAAACGACAUAAAUAAUCAAGGCAAUGAAAAGAAGAAAUUAGAAGAUGAUGUUAUUAUUAAUAAACUGGCUGAAUUAGAAGAUCGAAGUCGAAGAAACAAUCUUCGAAUCAACGGUAUCGAAGACUGUGAUAAUGAAUCAUGGGAAAAAAGCGAGAAAAAAGUCCAAGAAUUUAUUAAAUCUAAGCUUGGCAUUAAGUAUAAUGUAGAUAUAGAGAAAGCCCACCAAGUAGGAAGAAAAGAAUCAGAUAAACCCAGAAACAGACCUAUAAUAGUCAAACUCUUAAAUUACAAAGACAAAAGCACGAUAUUGGAAAAGUAAAUCAAUCUGAAACUUUGGAACUAAAAAAUCUACAUAAACGAAGAUUUUAGCGAACGGACGUUAGAAGUCAGGAAAAAGCUUUUCGCGGAAGCAAAAGAGUUACGUUCUAAAGAUUGUUCAGCACAAUUGUUAUUGAAAAAGAUGGAGCAGAUACAAAAACUAUUGUGCCUUCUCAUUGGGUUGACCCAUGUAAAAGUAUUGUGUUUUAUCCACCACAAGGACGGAAAACUGUUGCUGUUUAUCUAUCUGAAUGGGCAGAACCUGAGGUAGGCUGGCAAGAGUUUAAACUGAUAGAAUAUAUUUUUGAAGCUGGCAGCUUCAAAACAGAAGAUGAGGAUGAUGAUGUACCUAUUUCGAAAAAGUUUGAAAUAAUUGUUAAAGAAAGAGUUGCUAGUCCAAAACUUAAGCUUGGUGGAAUAAAAACAAAAUUUCAAUAUUUAGACAAACAUGAUGACGUUCUUAGUUCAAACAAAUUUGAAGUUAAAGAAAGAGAGAAAGUAGUUUUUUGGAUCCUGUGGCUUCUACUCCUAGUAAAAUGAUUGAUGAUGAUAAUAGAGAUAGUUGUAAAUGUGUUGAAAAGUUAAGAAAAAUUGGUGAUGGUAGAGUUUUGUUUAAAGAGAUGCCAAAUGAACGUGAAUUUUUUUGAAUUUCAAUAUACUUUGUUCAUGGAUAUCCAGAAAAAUUUUCGCCAGAUCUAAGAUAUGCAAGCUCAAAUCCUAGAUAAGCUUAAAAACAUUGAACAAAGUGGAGAUGUUGAUUUUAGUUUGAAUGUUGACGAUAUUGAAAAAGAACCAAUAAAUUCAAUUGAGAGAUUCGAUAUUAUUGAAAAUAUGUUAAAAACAAGCACAAAUGCAAGAAAAUGCAAGAAGUCGUUGUUGGUGACAAAAUUGGGUACGAUGCAAGCAGCAUCGAAGGUGCCAUUGGCGACAUAUUGAAACGAGCCAAAAAAUUCCUAGAUUGUAUUUAUUAUAUAUGUUUAAAAAUAUUAUUAUUUUUA